UUAUGGUUGUGAUGAUCAUUUAUCAGCUUAACGCCAGUUCUGCUUCAGAAAAUUAUGAUCGAUAGAGCUGUAUAAUUAUCUGAACCUCAC